rnacentral:rRNA from 1 species
UACAGAGACUGCAAGCGUUAUUCGGAUUCACUGGGCGUAAAGGGUGCGCAGGCGGUCGGGUGUGUCAGAUGUGAAAUCCCGAGGCUCAACCUCGAGACGUCGGUUGAAACCAUCUGGCUAGAGUCCGGAAGAGGAGAGUGGAAUUCCCGGUGUAGCGGUGAAAUGCGCAGAUAUCGGGAAGAACACCCGUGGCGAAGGCGGCUCUCUGGGACGGUACUGACGCUGAGACGCGAAAGCGUGGGGAGCGAACAGG